GUUCACUUCCUGUCACACACACACACACCUCUCUCUCCAGCACAGUGUUUUUGGUUUCUUAAGUUGCUGUUUCCACUAUCCCUACUGAUCGGCUCACUUCCUGCCUCACACGCACACUCUCUCUCUCUCUCUGAAACACAGACAUACACACAUCAUCUCACACACAACAUACACACACAUAGAACGUGGUGGUUGGCUGGACAGGAAGUUGGCUGGACAAGGGAAAAACGAACAUACGGACAAAACAGACAGACACAACUCAGGAGGACCGGUUCCUUUCUCUCGACAAGUCAACCCUUUCAUCCAGAACUCAGGUACCUGUGUUUUCUAACAUAACAAUGUUCUCUAACACAUAACACUGUCUGACAUCAUGUCCUCCUGUUGAUUCUGUGGCAGAUUCUGUUACAGAAUAGAUUUUUUAUUUUUUAUACCUGAGACACAACAAGAAUUUGAACAAGAUACUAUGCUUUAACAAGACAAAGACAGAGACAACCAUAUGGUUAUCUGAGAUUUCCAUUCAUCUCUGUUUUUAGAUCCAGUAAACUAUCACAAAAGUUAUCUAUAAAAGUGGACAUUUAUUUGUGUGAAAUUAGAUUUUCAUUAAUCUCAUGUCUGUAACCAGAGUGACAAGUUUCUCUUACACCAGGAAAUGAGAGUAACACACAUGAACCCUUCAAUGUUUGUAGAUCCGUAAGGUGGAAGCUUCAACAUUACACUGUCUAUACCUAUCCAGACCCCACUACUAUACUGUUUAUACCUAUCCAGACCCCACUACUAUACUGUUUAUACCUAUCCAGACCCCACUACUAUACUGUUUAUACCUAUCCAGACCCCACCACUAUACUGUUAAUACCUAUCCAGACCCUACAGAUCCCCUACUAUACUGUUUAUACCUAUCCAGACCCUACAGAUCCACCACUAUACUGUUUAUACCUAUCCAGACCCUACAGAUACACUACUAUACUGUUUAUACCUAUCCAGACCCUACAGACCCCACCACUAUACUGUUUAUACCUAUCCAGACCCCAAUACUUAUAAAAUCGCCAGUCCCUAAUCCACUAUACUGUUUAUACCUAUCCAGACCCGACAGAUUACCCCACUAUGAAAAUGUGUCUUUUCCCCCCUCUCUCUAUAACCUCAUCCCCCACUACCCAACAAAAC
rnacentral:lncRNA from 1 species